AUUGAACGCUGGCGGCAGGCCUAACACAUGCAAGUCGAGCGAGCGGCGGACGGGUGAGUAAUGUAUGGGGACUGCCCGAUAGAGGGGGAUAACUACUGGAAACGGUGGCUAAUACCGCAUACUAUCGGAUAACCCAUAUGGGAUUAGCUAGUAGGUGGGGUAAAGGCUGACCUAGGCGACGAUCUCUAGUUGGUCUGAGAGGAUGAUCAGACACGCUGGGACUGAGACACGGCCCAGACUCCUACGGAGGCAGCAGUGGGGGAUAUUGCACGAUGGGCGCAAGCCUGAUGCGGCCAUGCCGCAUGUAUGAAAGAGGCCUUAGGGUUGUAAAGUACUUUCGGCAGGGAGGCGUUACCCGCAGAAGAAGCACCGGCUAACUCCGUGCCAGCAGCCGCGGUAAUUC
rnacentral:rRNA from 1 species